GGGGAGCUCCAAACAGAAAUCACCUUCCAAGAGCUCAAGCAGCAAGCGGAGCCGUGACGACAGCGGAGACCGCCACAAGUCGAAGAAGGCCAGGCGAUGAGCUGGCGCCGACCGCCGACAGACCGGCGGGCGGUGACGCCGGCCGCAGGACGACCCCAGACGUGGCUGCCCCGACAGCGGACGCUGCCGGACGCCGCGCCGCGCCGUCAGGGACCGCCACCU